rnacentral:rRNA from 1 species
UACGGAGGGGGCAAGCGUUGUUCGGAAUUACUGGGCGUAAAGGGCUCGUAGGUGGCCAACUAAGUCAGACGUGAAAUCCCUCGGCUUAACCGGGGAACUGCGUCUGAUACUGGAUGGCUUGAGUUUGGGAGAGGGAUGCGGAAUUCCAGGUGUAGCGGUGAAAUGCGUAGAUAUCUGGAGGAACACCGGUGGCGAAGGCGGCAUCCUGGACCAACACUGACACUGAGGAGCGAAAGCCAGGGGAGCAAACGGG